rnacentral:rRNA from 1 species
GAUGAACGCUGGCGGCGUGCCUAAUACAUGCAAGUCGAGCGAACAGAUGAGGAGCUUGCGCCUCUGACGUUAGCGGCGGACGGGUGAGUAACACGUGGAUAGCCUACCUAUAAUACUGGGAGAACUUCGGGAAACCGGAGCUAAUACCGGAUAAUAUAUUGAACCGCAUGGUUCAAUAGUGAAAGACGGUUUUGCUGUCACUUAUAGAUGGAUCCGCGCCGCAUUAGCUAGUUGGUAAGGUAAAGGCUUACCAAGGCAACGAUGCGUAGCCGAGCUGAGAGGAUGAUCGGCCACACUGGAACUGAGACACGGUCCAGACUCCUACGGGAGGCAGCAGUAGGGAAUCUUCCGCAAUGGGCGAAAGCCUGACCGAGCCACGCCGCGUGAGUGAUGAAGGUCUUCGGAUCGUAAAACUCUGUUAUUAGGGAAGAAAAGAUGUGUAAGUAACCAUGCACGUCUUGACGGUACCUAAUGAGAAAGCACCGGCUAACUACGUG